UACGGGGGGAGCAAGCGUUGUUCGGAUUUACUGGGCGUAAAGGGCGCGUAGGCGGUCAGCACAAGUCAGUUGUGAAAUCUCCGGGCUUAACUCGGAAAGGUCAACUGAUACUGUGCGACUAGAGUGCAGAAGGGGCAACUGGAAUUCUCGGUGUAGCGGUGAAAUGCGUAGAUAUCGAGAGGAACACCUGCGGCGAAGGCGGGUUGCUGGGCUGACACGUGACGCUGGAUGCGCGAAAGCCAGGGGAGCGAACGG
rnacentral:rRNA from 1 species